rnacentral:rRNA from 1 species
UCUAUUUGAAGUUAUAAGGAGUCUGACCUGCCCACUGAUUAGAAAAUAAACUGAAUUUAAGGGCCGCGGUAUUAUGACCGUGCAAAGGUAGCAUAAUCAUUAGGUUUUUAAAUGGAAUCUUGUAUGAAUGGUUGGACAAAGGAAAAACUGUCUUUAUACAAAAAUUUGAAUUUUACUUUUAAGUGAAAAGGCUUAAAUAUUUUAGUGGGACGAUAAGACCCUAUAAAACUUUACAUUAUAAUUAUAUUUAAUUAAAUUUAAUUAAUAAAAGUUUAAUAUAGUUAUUUGUUUUGUUGGGGAGACAAAGGUAAAAAUUAUACUAACUGCUUGAAAAAUAAACAUUUGUUAAUGGUAAUAAUAAUAGAUCCUAAAUAUAGAUUUAAAGAUUAAGUUACUUUAGGGAUAACAGUGUAAUUUUUUUUAAGAGUUCAUAUCGAAAAAAAAGUUUGCAACCUCGAUGUUGAAUUAAAGUAUCUUUAUAAUGUAGCUGUUAUAAAAGAAGGUCUGNUCGCC